GACGGGGCAUCCACAGCCUCUCUGGGCAGCUGUUCCAGCACCUCACCACUCUCAUAGCAAAGAACUUCCCCACGACAUCCACCCUCAGUCUUCCCUCCUUAAUCUUCCCUGGAAUGAGUUUUUGACUUAAAAUGUUAGUUCUCUUACUUUUCUUAUAAGAAAUGCUUUUCUUUAGGAUUUUUAGACCAACAGAUACUAAAAAAUGCAUUUGAUAAUGGCUAAGAGACCAUUAUCUGUUUGGUUUCCCAUUUUCUUGCUGACACAAUAGAUGUAAGUUCUCUAAUUACACUGAAGUUUCCCAAAGUACACGAUGGCUCAGUCUGUAGAGCAUGCAAACAGUACGUUAGCAUUUUUCAUUUGUUUCUUAAGAGUUUUUGAAGAUCACAUUUGAAUAGGUUUUCUUUGGCAUACAGACUUGAGAGAGGGAAAGAGAACAGAAGGGAGCACAGAAUUGUGGAGUGUAAUGAUGGUGACCAAAUCUCCACAUGAAGAUGGACCACAUCUCCAAUCUCCAUCAUUAAGAAAGUUAAGGAAACCCAGGGGGCUCUUCCAUCCGCAAAGGAAACAGCCACUGUUGCUGGUGGUUUGAUAGCUUAAAGGUUGAGCUCAAGUGAAAAUGUUUGGAUUAUGGAAGGAGAGAAAGGAAGACAAAUGCUGUGUAUAAGCUCAUGGAAGGAAGACUUUGUGUUGUUCUCUUUUUGAUGAACUGAGGGUUUUGUAGUUUACCAACUGUAGGGAUAGCUACAGUCAGCUGCUUUGGUUUUGUGAGGCAGAAAUUGGGUUAGAUGAAUUUGAUCAAAUUUAGAGACCUAAAAAAACUAUAAUUAAUAGUGUAAAAAAGGUUUGUACAGAAGCAAACUAAAAAGAAAAGGAAAAAUAUAUUAGUGAAUUAAAUAGUAAUUAGCUUACUUGUGGAAAAGGUAAUAAAACAUCCAUGAGUAUAAAUAUAUCUAUAUUUUUAGUUGACCUCAGAACACUUUUGAAAAUCAGAUAGGCAUUAUUGCAAACACUACACUUAAACAUAGAUGAGGUUCGAUAUUAAUUCAGUCAUUAAAAUUUUGAAUUUCUUAUGUAAAGAUUGCUUGGAAAAUUGUCUUUGAUGGUAAGAGAUCUUGUAGAGCUUCAUGCCCUGGAUUCCAGCAGUGAGCUGACAUCUCUUGGAAGAAUCCUAGCCAGCCUUCCCAUUGAACCACUUGGCAAGAUGAUGACAAUGGGAUGUAAUUUUAGUAAGUUUAAUGGCUUUGUUCCUCAGUUCUUGAGCCUCUAGAAGUGCAAUAUACAGAAGAAAAAGCAGUACAUCCGGAUGAGCAAUAAAUGGGAAUAAAAAAACUGAAUAUUGAUGAGAUCAGAGAAUAAAUAACUUUUCGUAUAGGGAAUAAAGUAGUUGUGAACUGAAAGGGUAAGCAGAGUGACUGAAACAGACCUGUAGAAGCUGAAUAUUUAUGAAGAAGGAGUGGGACUGCAAAUACUAAGUGCAAUGGUAAAGUAGAGAGAGAGGGAUAGGAAUUUUGGGACCUAGACAGGACAAACAAAGAAUUCACACAUUUUAUUUCAAUAGAAGUAAAGACCUGCUGCUUUUAACUGUGAUGGGUGUAGGGCCAUUUUACCCUGAAGAAGAUGGUGGAAAGACCUGGAGAUGGUUGGAAGAAGAUAGACAAAGUAUGCAGCAAGUGAAAAAGCAGAGAAACACCACACUUGUGAACACCAAAGAUUUAGCAUGGGUUAAGAACUGUUAAGGUAGAAAAGGGGCAGCUGAAGGAUAUGUAUUCAACCUGUCUUCCCAGAAAGUGAGAUUCUAUUUGGACAUAGCGAUUUAAUGAGGGUGUUUUUCAUUCAGGGAUGAGAAAUAAACAGGAUAAUUUGUGAUGAACACAUAGGCAAUGAAGCGUGCUUUAAAGAGCUUCUACUUUUACAGGUAUGUUCAAGUGAAAUUACAGUGCUGUCUCAUUCUCGUUGUUGUCUCCCAGACAAAAAGCUGUGAUGGCUGAGAUGCAAUACAGGGAGGUUUUGGAGGCUGAGGCUAUGGCAGAAGGAUUGAAAAUAUGUUGAUUAAUUGUCCUUAGAGAGAAACCUCCCUGAUUUACUGUUCUUCACUUGCUGCAUCCCCAGAAUGUCCUCUGUGUUUCCUGGCUCCUUGGUAUUAGCCUUAGGGAAUCUGUGUCUUGUAAACACUGUCCUGUGUGUCUUAUGAUUUUCUGCAUUUGUGCCACAGCAGAGAUGUGCAGUAAUGUUUUCUUCAAUUACUCAAUUUUCUAAAAGUGCCAUUUAAAAACUGUUUCUUAAAAAUGACCAGGGUCUGAAUUUGCUGCAGCUCCCUGCAGCCCGAGGAGCCUGCUUAGUUAACUGACAUGGCUGGCUGAAUUCAGCAGAUGCUUGCCUCUUAAAAAAAAAAAAAAUCCUUUAAUUUUUUUUCUCUCUUUACACUGCUAGAAUCAUUAUUGCAUUUAUCCUUAUUUUUUUUUUUUUUCCUCUGGGCAAGAUGACCUGAAACCAAGCCACCAGAGAAUCUGGGGAAGUUCAUAACAAAGUAAUGAAAACAUUCUGACCUCCCCCAAAUGAUCUGUCUCCAAAACAAAUGACAGGAAACACACUGUGGUACAGCACAUUCUGGGCAAACCUCUCAUUUCUUGUUUUUGAAGAGCUUGGGAGAGAAAAAUACCUCUUUGUAGUAGUAUUUUCCAGCUUUUUUGCUACCCAUGAAUUAAUUGGAAACUGAAUGUAGAGCUGAAAUGCUCUGAGUGAGGAGGUCAUUUAAGAAUAGAUGCCCAUCUGCCAGCUGAUUGAAUCAGAAAUUGCAUUGAUCCAGGAUCCUAAACAACUGCUGUGCUGUCCUACAUGACCUGUGGAUGCUAGCCCAGUCUUCUGUUCUCUGUCAACAGAAUGUUUGAUGACUCAACCAUUUAACAGCUCUGGACCAGAUGAUAAUCUGGAUGUUGUAAUAUCCUUGCUUGCUUUUGGGGUCUAACCCCAAUGUCUGUUAUCACGAGGAGGAAAGGAAAAGUGGUACUGCUGAGGGGCAUUACGUGCUCAGCCACACAUCACCUGUCAGCACACAGGACUGGAAGUGUCAGUCGGCUUUCUUCAUGUUUGGACAAUCUUGGUUUGAUGCUUGGGAUUUCCACAGGUGUAAUUCAGAACUGUGGUCAGGCUUCACCUCCGCUCCAGCUUAGCCAGAACUUCAGUUUGCUUCGGCCAGCUGUGUAAAGUGAGCCCUUCUGAAUAGGCCACAGGACUUUUGAACUCAAAAUACUAUGCUUUGUUAAAUCAAAGUAACACAUGGUAUCUAGAAGCAAUUAAGAUGUUGGCUUAAGAGUGACUAGGUAAGGCUGGGGUGAAGGAAUGAUUUCUAUGCAGCUCUCUUACUACCCACUGCAUACAAAGAGCUCCUCUUUGAGGUUUGGUUGUCUUGUUUUAUGCUAUAUUUGUCAGUCUCUGACCUGCAAGUUCAUUGCUGUUUGUUAUGGCCGUUCUGCUGUGAUUUCCAUUCUGGAAGCUUCUCUCUUCUAAGCAUGCAUAGCAGCUUCUAGCAUAGGAUCCAGACUCUUUCCUGAAGACAAAAGUAAUAGAUUGUGUCCACCAUGUUCCUGUGUGAAAGGAGGAGGGAGGCUGUAAACCCUAAGUACCACUCUCCAUGUCCUCUUUAAAAUGAAUGGCAGCAGCCCACGCAGCCAGCGCUGCUAUCUCUGCCUCACCUCAGAUGGCUUGUUACUGUCAGAAUGCUCAUUUCAAGUCCAAACGUAAGGCCUUGUUUCUAUAAAAUGACAAAGUGGGCAUCUUUGCAUGGACACGUGGCAGCAUUCAAACAUGCAUGUGUGAGACCUUCUCAUCACUGCCCCAGCAAUGACAACGGCAAGAAGAUAACUCAGCAAUGCCUUGGUCCUUUUUAGAUCGGCAAAAGGUGAGAUGGCUCCUGCAAAAUGUCAGCUGCUUUACUGCAGCAAUGGAAAAAUGCAUACCUUUUAACAACAGCUUUUUUUUGUUUAUGCCAGUCAGUGCUGAAUCCCUGUAAACAGCUGCCUGUUUCAAUUUGUUUGCAUGCACAUCAUACCUAGAUUUUGGUGUAUGCUUUCUUGUUUAGUUUUUGCAUUUCUACAUAGCAUACGUUUUAUAAAAGACAUCUGAAUGUCUCUUUUAAAAUUAUUUUUAAUUUCCUGGUAUGUAAAAUGAAGGUGAAGAGUUGCUGGAGUUCAAUUCACUACUAUGUUUGAGGGCAGCCUGUAGUUUUUGAAAUGUUGAGGUGCUGCAUGCUUUUCGUUUACGCCGUUUUAUAUCUUGCUGUUUUGACAUGAAGGAUUAAGUAUUAAUGUUACCUAAAUAUGCUAAAUCUGCAGACUUAAGCAGGAGGACAACCGAUGUUUUAAUAAUAUCAUACUGUAGGGAGCUGGCAGAUUUUCCCCCUGAAUUUCACGUCCCUUUUGUAACACAUCUAAACGAUGAGAAUGUAGAGUACUGGAUCAGUAUGUGCAGCACACAGUGGAAAACCAAUUCCCGGAGUGUCUUUUUAACAGGUUACCUCCUAGAAGCUGUGAUACAUCCAAUGUCAUUCUUUCUGCUCUAGGAUCAAACUGAGAGUGCCCCGCAUGGCUGCCUGCAUUGCUGCUGUGUGUGCUGUGAUGGAGGUGCUCACUGUGGAAGCAGCUAAAAACCUGGAGAUCAUUUGGCAGCUGGACCCACCAGAUAAGCAAAUGUGGAAUGUGAUCUAUCAGAUCUCCAGGCUGCCAGCAGCAGGCAUCAACCUCAUGGCUGCCAAUGGAAGUGCCACAUACAGUGCUGACACUCCUGAGAAACAGAAGAAAAAUCACACCAAGAGACGUUGAGGGGAGAGGGCCCACCUACUGUAGAGGCCAUUAUUGACUGAUUUUAUGCUGAAUUAAGCAAUGACUGAGGACUACUGGUGAGGACUGCGUUAGAGCUGCGGUUCAUAAAGAUGGAUGUAAAUUAUAACAGACUGCAAUGGUAAGAUCUAAUCAUAAGGUCUUCGUUAACCUGGCUGUAAGAUGACAGCCAUGUAUUCUCCCAGGAAAAUGACCUUGUGGCCUCCACAGUACCAGCUUCCUAAAGCUCAAGUUACCAAGUUGCUGAGAUGGAGCACCCACAGGAAAAUCUCUCAUUUGUAUGGAAAAGAAUGAGCACCACUUCAUAGAUCUGAGCAUACUAAAAAAAAAAAAGGAAAAAAAGGAAAAAAAAAAA